rnacentral:rRNA from 1 species
GACGAACGCUGGCGGCGUGCUUAACACAUGCAAGUCGAACGGAAAGGCCCUGCUUUUGUGGGGUGCUCGAGUGGCGAACGGGUGAGUAACACGUGAGUAACCUGCCCUUGACUUUGGGAUAACUUCAGGAAACUGGGGCUAAUACCGGAUAGGAGCUCCUGCUGCAUGGUGGGGGUUGGAAAGUUUCGGCGGUUGGGGAUGGACUCGCGGCUUAUCAGCUUGUUGGUUGGGUAGUGGCUUACCAAGGCUUUGACGGGUAGCCGGCCUGAGCGGGUGACCGGACACAUUGGGACUGAGAUACGGCACAGACUCGUACGGGAGGCAGCAGUGGGGAAUAUUGCACAAUGGGCGGAAGCAUGAUGCAGUCACGCAGCGUGCGGGAUGACGGCCUUCGGGUUGUAAACCGCUUUCGCCUGUGACGAAGCGUGAGUGACGGUAAUGGGUAAAGAAGCACCGGCUAACUACGUG